UACGUAGGGUCCGAGCGUUGUCCGGAAUUACUGGGCGUAAAGAGCUCGUAGGUGGUUUGUCGCGUUGUUCGUGAAAACUCACAGCUCAACUGUGGGCGUGCGGGCGAUACGGGCAGGCUAGAGUUCGGUAGGGGAGACUGGAAUUCCUGGUGUAGCGGUGAAAUGCGCAGAUAUCAGGAAGAACACCCGUGGCGAAGGCGGCUCUCUGGGCAUGUCCUGACGCUGAGGAGCGAAAGUGUGGGGAGCGAACAGG
rnacentral:rRNA from 1 species